rnacentral:rRNA from 1 species
AUUGAACGCUGGCGGCAGGCCUAACACAUGCAAGUCGAGCGAGCGGCGGACGGGUGAGUAAUGUCUGGGAAACUGCCUGCUGGAGGGGGGUAACUACUGGAAACGGUAGCUAAUAACGCAUAGCAUCAGCUGUGCCCCGAUGGGUUUAGCUAGUAGGUGGGGUAACGGCUCACCUAGGCGACGAUCCCUAGCUGGUCUGAGAGGAUGACCAGCCACACGGGAACGGAGACACGGUCCAGACGCCUACGGGAGGCAGCAGGGGGGAAUAUUGCACAAUGGGCGCAAGCCUGAUGCAGCCAUGCGGCGUGUGUUAAGAAGGCCUUCGGGUUGUAAAGCACUUUCAGCGGGGAGGCGGUACCCGCAGAAGAAGCACCGGCUAACUCCGUGCCAGCAGCCGCGGUAAUUC